rnacentral:misc_RNA from 1 species
CCGACGAGGCCCACCAACCCCACGCCGUGGUGCGCGCGUGUGUGCGUCUGUACGCGUGUGCGCAUUGGAGAUUUGUGCCGGGGGCACGUCUCUCCGUGUCUCCCCUCCCCUCAUCACACAAGCACACACAUACACACCUCCUCCCUUCCCGCCUCUGCCACCGCGGUAGUUUGAUCAUCAUCGCUGUCGGAGGAGAGAGGGGCACCCGCGCACCUCUGUGCCCACCUGUGCCGGCUGCGCGACCGUACGUGCGUCUCUUGGCCCUCACCUCCACCCUCUUUCACCAUGGAGGACGAUUUAUCUCCCGCGCCACCCAUCGCCUCCUCGCUGCCACUGCAGCUGCUUCGGGGUUUAGGGAGCACCGAGGGUGCGAGCAGCGGGCAGGAGAACGUCGCUAGCGUCCCUUCCACGGGCGCCGGCGCCCAUGCAACCGCCGCCCCGACUCGGCUACGGCGCCGAAAACUCAGCCGCCCCUCGCCUCCACCGCCGCUUAGCAGUCUCGCUCUCUCGACUCAGAAGACAAACUUGCGGACGGCUGCUGCCCGCCUGACAUCGGCGUCCCUCUUUCCCGAGGCGCACAGUGCAGUCGCACCCGCUUCCCCUCGACCUCUGCUGACAUCAUCGAAGUCCGUUGCACCGCCCGCGCCAGUCAACGAUGGCGCAGAUGCAGAGGCGCCGCAAGCCCCAUCACUUUUUCGCUGGCACAGCAGCAGCGGCGGCGACGCCUUACCGUCGCCGCCCACCGCCGGCGCGCGCGUGCUGCCGUGGUGGAAGCGCAUCCUCGUUGACGCCGCCUACCGUCAGCGGCUCAUGCAGCUCAGCACAGAGGGCUAUCACGAAGAGUUGCGGCUGUUGCGCGAAAAGCCGGAGCUGCUGUCCUCUGGAGCAGAGAUGGAGGUGCGGAAGGUAUGGAGAGAGCGACUCUGGAUGGACGACGAACUGGAAAAGGCGGAGCUGCGUCCAUCCACGAGCGACGUUGUGCACCGACAAGAGGCGCACGGCGCGGCCGGCGGAAUCGCAGCCCUCUCCUCGCCCUUUGCACCGUACCACGUCGGCACGGCCGAGCACGCCGCGCGGCAGCGGCAAGCGGCAGCGCCGAUGAUGGAAGAGGUGGACGAAGUGGUUGUCAUGGCGCAGCAUGUCGUCUUCCGUGUUGGGCACGACGAAAUCGCGUCGCACUUCUCGGCGAAGCACCCCAACUCCAUAAUCGAUGCCUCUGCCUUGGCGAGCGUGCAGCACGUUGAACUCGGUGCCAUGCCUCCGGCCAAGCACAUGCGAGAGCAGCAGCAGCAGCAGCAGGAGCGCGCCGUCAAGCAGCACCUCGCCUCCCUCCGCCGCUUUUCGCUCGACACCCCGUACGAGCUGAAGGAGUGCCUUGCUCGCGACAUUGUCGCCGGCCGCGUCGAUGUGCCGAUGCAGACCGCCAUCACGGAUGCCGUGAUGGACGAGCAGCAGUGCUCUCUCCCCACCACGCGACGGCCUUUAUCACCGGACCUGUGUGUGUUUCCCUCUCCACGGACCGAAAAGAGCAGCGCGGCCGCGCGCCGGAGGCGACAGCACGAUGACGACCUGCCCGCACCAGCAGCUCUGAUCAUGUGGCAGCUGCCGCUGCGCAAGCCGAAGAUGCCAACGACGCCGCUAUGGCAGCGCCCCUGGCUGCCGCCGGGUGCGUGGGCCGUCGAGAUGGCGCACUGCGAUGUGACACGUGCAGAGGCCCUGAUUCGCGCCUCCGCCGUCCGCGACCCGCUCGCCGUGGAAAAGCGGACGGCGGCCAUCAAAGACAGUAUAGAAGUGCCAAGGCACCACCAAGGCAGACCCAGAUCUACGGGCGUGACGACGGCAGCCACUGACGGCGAGCAGCACCGCCACAACGUUCGGGUUCGCAGGCAAGAAGCCGCAGUGGCGUGCACAGAUGGCACGGAGAACCUGUACGGGCUCCAGUACGUCUGGCGGUCACCUCUGCCACCGGGAGGGUUCAUUCGCGUCUCUCCUGAUCCGCGCAUUGCCAUGUGGCCCGACUCGGAGGACGAGGACAGCGACGAUGGCGCACUUGACAAAAUGGAAAAGUACGACAACUCGCAGGCACGUGGGGUGCACGCGGGCGAUGGUGGUGGUAUCCGUGAAGGCGUUCGCCGCAGCAUCUCCAAAGUCUCGACGGGCACCUCUCAGCACCAUGGCCGCCAAGCGCAGAUGCGCCGCCUCGCACGCUGUGUCAACCGCCGAACGCACAAGUUGCGCUGGCUACACAGCAUUGGCCGCCGUCAUGUGUGCUACAAGGAUCUGGCCCUCUCCGACUCAGACAACUCAACAGGCGCCGCCUCGGCAUCGUCUUCCUCCUCGUCACAGUGCACGUCACCGACAGUUUCGGCGCUGCGCGACAUUCAUGUUGCAGUCGAGGUCAAGAAAGCAAGUAAGAGGGCGGCGCGUCUGCCGCUGCUCCAUGGCAACGGCAAAGCCCGUCGACGCCAGCGGCGGAGGCAGGAAGGCGUCGACGACACCUCGCGAGGGCCGCGACCCGUGUACGACGGCGUGUUGAACAUCAACAUCUACGCCGAGAUUGUCGACAGCCAAUGUCGGAACGCCAGCGUUGUUGGCACGUCGCCUCUGCGAGCGAAGUCACAACAACACGGCCAGCAGGCGAGCAAUGCAGCCACGACGACGCGCCGCUUCCUCGGGUGCUACCGGCAGAGUCGCCUGCUCAUUCACUUCAAGCUGUACUGCCGGGCGUUGUACGAGGAGCAACGGGUGCGCCGCGGCGGUGCUGGCACUCACGUAAUUGGACGUGCCGGCGGAAGCGCGCCAGAGUACACGCCGGCAACGGAAGGACUGCUUGCCGGGGUGCCGGCCAUCCCGCACCCGGUGCUGAAGCUGCAAGAGCACGCGCCGUCACUGCGUAAGUCCUACGCCCAUCGCAUCCCCGUUGCGUCGACCAUGAGCGGCUGUCGCUGCUGGGAAGGUCUGUACCCGGCCCUCGGCACCAAUCUGGCCACUCCGGUUCAACAGGCGUGGCGGCAGCUGCAGCGGUCCAGCCUGGUGCGUCAGGCCCUGCGCGACAUCUAUGACGAGCUUCCACAUGACAAGGAGGGCCUCCUGGACAAGCGGACGUUCGUGCUGUUUGUGCUGCAGCUGCUCGAGCUCUUCUUUCCCACCCGCCUCCCCGCGGCGGCCCACAUCGCCAUCGCGGAGGAAGAAUGGGUGUACCGCGGCACAACGGAGCACGUUGGGCCGAAAACCUUUCACGAGAAGUUCUUCGUCUUUCCGUUCAUAUUUUACCGCGACAUCGCCGCCGUGACGGAGGCGCAGCUUGUCGAGUUCUGGACUCUCGUCCGCGUCUGCUUUGAUGCGCAGAGGAGGACGCGGGAGAAGGCGGCGGCGAUGAGCGCAGCGGUGCGUGGGCGGUCGUCGUCGCUGGCAGGAAACAGCGGCGAUGCGCCGCGACCUCCCCUGCUCUCUCUUCUGACGCCGCUGACGCUUUUCACGGCGGAGCAGCUGGACGUACUGCUCUCGCGCCCGCCACCCGCGUUUGACGUGGACGUGUACGAUCGAUACUGCUUGCUCCGCCAAGCCUUCCGUGAGGAUCCCAAAGUGCGUGCGGCCCCACGCGGCCAUCAGUACGUUGUUGCGCGCAGUGUGGUGGAGGCGCAGCAGCAGAAACGCCCACGCGCUAGCAACUGGGCGGCACAGAAAGGGAACCCCGCACACAAGAUGUCAGCGCCGCUGACGGCGUGUCGGACGCAGCUCUGCUCGGCAGACGUGAAGCGGCGCGCGGAAGUUGCGGCGGCGGCACAGCGGGAGCGAGAAUCACGUCAGCGCAGCCUGGAGGCACAGGAGCACAAGGCGCUGCUCGAACAGUCGGACUACUAUCAAGCGCGCAUCGGCCGUAUUCAAUCACGCGCCGCAACCGUGAUUUCGGGCAUUGAGAGCACCUGCAGCACCUGGGAGCUACACCGCACCGAGGCGUACGCCCCUCCGCAGAAGGACGAAAACGCCGACGCGCGGCUGCAGGUAAAAGAGGACGUGGAAGAGCUUCUCCUCGAGUACCUCGACGACGUGCCGCUUGACGUCUUCGACGGGCCGGUGUCGCUGCGUGAACGCUACCUCCUCCACGCCGGCCUCCGGCAAGAGCGACUUAAUCGCACCUUUUCCCCGCUGCAGCCGCCUCCCGCGCCCGCCCCCUCCGUCGCACCCGCGGAUGACGGCUGCAGCGCUGCGCUACCGCCAGUGAACCCCGUAGCGCGAGCCACGCCGUCUUGCCGACCUGUGAAGGCGGAUGAUGUGGCGCUGCAGUACAUGGCGGUGAUGACAGGUGGCCUUGGCGCAACGCAGCGGCGCAUCGCUGUCUCAGAGGAGAUGAGACCCUUGCUUGAUGGCACGAGUGAUGUCAGCGGCGGCGCUGUCAUUACGCCCCCUACCACGUCCUACGUCGCAGGUAUGUACCCUCUACGGGCCGUGCGGCGAACGGUGAGCUCGGUGCUGUGCCCGUCGCGAGUGCCUAGCCGCAGGAGAAGCAUCCUGAACAGGAGCAGUGAGGCAAGCCUAUCGGGAGCGUGCACAACAUUCUGUUCGGUCUUGGGUGUCGAGGACGACGGCAGGAUCGGUGCGGCCUCGACGUUCUCGUCCUUCUACACCGCCGCCUGCGCCCCACAUGCGCAGCUCACACGCGGCGUUCAGCGCAAAGGCGUUGCCGCGAGCGCCAGCGCGUGUGGCGUGAGCGGGCGGUAUCCUGGGAAAGAUGAGGAUGCUAUGAUGGAGGCCAUGGCGAGCAGCGCGUCUCUCACCGGCGUGCGCAACAAGUCCUGUUACCGAAAACCUGCUGCGGUACAGCUACGCCAACUUUCGCGUCCAGCCACGCCAGCCGUGUCGGCCACACCGUUUGUCCCUGUAUCGCCGUUGCUGAGGCCGCGCGACGGCGGCGUGUCCAUCCUCUGCGGCCUGAACUCGGUAGCGACCAUGCCGGCAAGCACCCAACGCGGCACAUCGCCACUGCCGCAGCAUCAGCAACUGCUCACGUCCGCCAAGGCCUCAUCAACCGCGGCACUCGAAACGGCGUGGACGUCGUCGGUCAUGCUUGUAGAUCUAGGUGAAGAGGUCACAAACGCAUCGCCGGGGUCUGCUCCUCGGGUCUCGCAGCAGGGCUCGACGGUGGUGCACCACGUCGGCGCUCGGCCACCGCACCCGCCGGCAUUGUCCACUGUGCAUGCGCCAGCGCCGUCAGCAUCGCUACAUUAUGCUCAGCGUCUGCGCGCGCAGAAGCGUCGCCAGGAGCAGUACAAGCGGCAGUUCAACAACGCCGCCAAAACCGCAGCAGGAGUGGCCUGUAAGCAUUGAAUCCAGGUGAGAGGAAAGGAAAGGAGGAGGAGAGUGAGGGAGCUCACGAUGCACACACGCACGCCGCAGCGAUGGGGGAGGCGGUGUUACGCGUUUAUGUAUGUGCGCGUAAGACCUACUUGUGCAUCGUGCCGCCUGCUGCCCUCUCCCCACCCUACCCCUCUCCUCUGCAGCACACUCGCUUGAUUACUAAACAUAUGUAUGUGCACACAGACACACACACACACACACCUUUUCCGUCGGUGUGCCGACCAUAAGCCCGCGCAUGUACAGUAUGUUCGCUUUCCUUUUUCUUUUCGCCUGUCGUCUGCGUUGUUGCUCCUCCUUUCCUAUGUCACCUCUGUGGAAGCC